CUUAGUUCUUCCUCCCCCCACCUCCCCCCCCCGCUCCUGCCCCCACCCCCGCCCCCCAUUCAUGCACUGGGACCUGUUCUACAAAUACCAGAGGAAAAGAGAAAGAACAAACCAAACAGAGCAGUCUAAAUGCUACAGGGUGCAGCGGAAAGUUUGAGGCACCUUGGCUGGGAGCCCGUGGUGAAACCCGGCCGGCCGUGGCUCCUGUCUCCCCAUCCUCAAUGGGCAGUGGCAACUACAGCUGCUAGAGUGGAGCAGCCGCAGUGGGGCGUGGCCUGCAGGGCUGCUGGAGUCCAUUGCCACACUCAUGGAAACUUGCUGGGAGAGAAGCGAACCUUCACUCAAGGAAGUAGAACAUGCAGUGUGCUUAUGGCCCAGGCCAGUCUGUGGCCUUGAGGAGGAGCGAUUGAGAGGCCCUAGCAAGUGCGACAGUGUCUUACAAGGGACCAACUGGAUGGUAUUAACAUGCGGAAUGGUCGUUUGCCAUUCCGACGGAUUGUUUUAUUAUCAACACGAUACUUAAGAAGAGCUAAUGAAGAAAUUAUAAUCCCACCCUGAAACCAAUCCACGGGAAAGUGUGCAUGAUAGCCAUGAAACGUGAUUCUCUCCAGGCUGUCUCUGAGAAUGGUAAGGACGCACACUGGCUGACAGGUGACACUAACGUGGACCUUCUCAGUCUCAAGCCAACCUUCCAUGGCUCCUCCAAGUCCUCAGUGGCUGUUCAAGACGCUAAGGCUUAGAAACCUUAGAAGCGCAGGGGAAAGCUGCCCAAGGCUCAGCCAGCCCUCCCAUUCUUCUUCUCUCUCGUGGCAGCCAAUCCCUUUGAAACACUUCCAGGGAUCUCCUUGGGAGGCAGAUGGGCCACACUGUGACUGGGGCCCUUGAUCUGGAUGGCACUGAAUGAGUGCAGUCGGUGUAUUUGCCACUGAACAAAUGGCGCUUGGUGGGGCUGUUUGUAUUCGUGUACGCUUUUCAUGUCAAUGGCCUCUUCCUUCUCUAGCCAACCUACAGAAGGCACCGGGAACAGCCUGCCCUGCAGGCAUUGUUCAUGCUUGACUGGGACCACUUGGUCUCACCAAGGGAAGGCUGCCAGCAUUCCCUGACAGAAGCAAGUGGCACUGGGGGAAAAAAAACAGCAAAAGGAAAUUGAGCAAUACAGAACACUGUAUACAUAGUAAAUAAACACACCUUUUUUUUUUUUU